GAGCGUUCAAGACGAGUUUGUUUGAGAUCAAUUGAUAGUCGUAGCGUUGUGUAAUGUUGAUCUUGUUUUGGUAACGUAGUGGAGCAUUGAGUUAAAUAAGCCUGACUCUUAUUUUUUCUGGAUGUCUGCCGGUCUUGUCCGCAAGACAACUUUUAGUAUGAGUAUGCUAGUGUGUUUUGUGAGUAUGUUAUAUCUGAAUGGUAUUGGUAUUUCAAGUGUUUGCAGUUUUUCAUCAAGAAGGUCAUGGCCGAUUCAAGCGAUCCUGAUCCCGCAGUAUUUCUUGAACAGUGAACGAAAUGGGUGCGCAGAGUCACUCGUGAAAUAUUAAAAUAAUUUAUCAGUUUACAUUUAUUCUCUUCGCUCAAAAACUGAAUGCUAAUUAUUUUUUAAAAUGGAAUCAUGCGUUUUGAUACCAAAAGAGUUAUCUUUAACCGGAAUAUCCCUACCAAAUAUAACAAACGAAUUCGUAUUAACUGUGUGCGCAACUACUAAUAUCAAAAAAGGAACUCUAUUUUGUCCGUUUCAAGGUACUAUUCGUACCGAUAAAAUUGAAAACUUAAAGUCUCCUGAUGAAAAUGACUUAAGAUAUCGGUACGGAUUAUAUCAUGAAAUUUCAGACAAUUAUGGAAAGCGCGUUGUUCAUUGCAAUUGGAUAAGAUUUCUUAAAAUUGCCAGUUCUAUCGACGCUAAUGUAAAUAUAAUUAGUUCCAUGGUUAAAGGAGAUCCAUUGUAUGAAGUUAUAAAGCCAAUAAAAAUGUAUGAAGAAUUAGUUGCUUAUUAUAUUCCGGAACCACCAGAGGACAGUAUAUUUCUGACUUUUCGUUCCACGCUUUAUAGAAAAGCUAUGGACUCGAUUCUAAAGGAUACCCCCCUAGAUUUGUCACUAGCAUUAAUGUAUAAAACACCAAAUUUUCCACUAUCUCCUCCAGUAAGUGAGGACGAGCAAAAGUCAACGUUGAGUGACUCCUCUGGAUCUUUAUUAUCACUUCAUGACAGCACAAUUGACAACUCAACUACUUCUUCAUCUACGUCGAUGGAAGAAAUAAAUAAAUAUGAAUUUGAAGAUAUCACUUCAAUCUCAUCUAUAAAUAAAAUUUACUUUAAAGCCUAUCAAUACGGACCAGAGAAAAAACGAAUGGGUAAAAACGAAAGAUCUUUACUUCCCUGUGAAGUCUGCAGAAAAGCAUUUGAUAGGCCUAGUCUAUUAAAAAGACAUAUGAGAACACAUACAGGUAAUUUUAUAU